GACGAACGCUGGCGGCGUGCUUAACACAUGCAAGUCGAACGGAAAGGCCCUGCUUUUGUGGGGUGCUCGAGUGGCGAACGGGUGAGUAACACGUGAGUAACCUGCCCUUGACUUUGGGAUAACUUCAGGAAACUGGGGCUAAUACCGGAUAGGAGCUCCUGCUGCAUGGUGGGGGUUGGAAAGUUUCGGCGGUUGGGGAUGGACUCGCGGCUUAUCAGCUUGUUGGUGGGGUAGUGGCUUACCAAGGCUUUGACGGGUAGCCGGCCUGAGAGGGUGACCGGCCACAUUGGGACUGAGAUACGGCCCAGACUCCUACGGGAGGCAGCAGUGGGGAAUAUUGCACAAUGGGCGGAAGCCUGAUGCAGCAACGCCGCGUGCGGGAUGACGGCCUUCGGGUUGUAAACCGCUUUCGCCUGUGACGAAGCGUGAGUGAUGGUAAUGGGUAAAGAAGCACCGGCUAACUACGUGCCAGCAGCCGCGGUGAUACGUAGGGUGCGAGCGUUGUCCGGAUUUAUUGGGCGUAAAGGGCUCGUAGGUGGUUGAUCGCGUCGGAAGUGUAAUCUUGGGGCUUAACCCUGAGCGUGCUUUCGAUACGGGUUGACUUGAGGAAGGUAGGGGAGAAUGGAAUUCCUGGUGGAGCGGUGGAAUGCGCAGAUAUCAGGAGGAACACCAGUGGCGAAGGCGGUUCUCUGGGCCUUUCCUGACGCUGAGGAGCGAAAGCGUGGGGAGCGAACAGGCUUAGAUACCCUGGUAGUCCACGCUGUAAACGGUGGGUACUAGGUGUGGGGUCCAUUCCACGGGUUCCGUGCCGUAGCUAACGCUUUAAGUACCCCGCCUGGGGAGUACGGCCGCAAGGCUAAAACUCAAAGGAAUUGACGGGGCCCCGCACAAGCGGCGGAGCAUGCGGAUUAAUUCGAUGCAACGCGUAGAACCUUACCUGGGUUUGACAUGGAUCGGGAGUGCUCAGAGAUGGGUGUGCCUCUUUUGGGGUCGGUUCACAGGUGGUGCAUGCCUGUCGUCAGCUCGUGUCGUGAGAUGUUGGGUUAAGUCCCGCAACGAGCGCAACCCUUGUUCACUGUUGCCAGCACGUUAUGGUGGGGACUCAGUGGAGACCGCCGGGGUCAACUCGGAGGAAGGUGGGGAUGACGUCAAGUCCUCAUGCCCCUUAUGUCCAGGGCUUCACGCAUGCUACAAUGGCUGGUACAGAGAGUGGCGAGCCUGUGAGGGUGAGCGAAUCUCGGAAAGCCGGUCUCAGUUCGGAUUGGGGUCUGCAACUCGACCUCAUGAAGUCGGAGUCGCUAGUAAUCGCAGAUCAGCAACGCUGCGGUGAAUACGUUCCCGGG
rnacentral:rRNA from 1 species